rnacentral:rRNA from 1 species
UAAGUAGACCGCCUGGGGAGUACGGCCGCAAGGUUAAAACUCAAAUGAAUUGACGGGGGCCCGCACAAGCGGUGGAGCAUGUGGUUUAAUUCGAUGCAACGCGAAGAACCUUACCUGGUCUUGACAUCCACGGAAGAAUUCAGAGAUGGAUUUGUGCCUUCGGGAACCGUGAGACAGGUGCUGCAUGGCUGUCGUCAGCUCGUGUUGUGAAAUGUUGGGUUAAGUCCCGCAACGAGCGCAACCCUUAUCCUUUGUUGCCAGCGGUCCGGCCGGGAACUCAAAGGAGACUGCCAGUGAUAAACUGGAGGAAGGUGGGGAUGACGUCAAGUCAUCAUGGCCCUUACGACCAGGGCUACACACGUGCUACAAUGGCGCAUACAAAGAGAAGCGACCUCGCGAGAGCAAGCGGA